rnacentral:lncRNA from 1 species
CAGUGUUGUUGAUGGCGGAUGGCGGCCCAUGGCGGUUGCCAAAAUUAAGCCAUCAUGGCGUGGUGGAUGGCGUGGCGGGCAAAAGGUGGACUUCAUGGCGGUUGACAAAAAUAAAUAAAAAAUAUAAUAGAAAAAAAAUAAUAACACAAAUAAACAAUAAUAACAUAAAGCUUCAUAGUCAUUAAGUAUAAAUAUCUUAUAAAAAGUACGCAAAUAAUACUAAAAAGUUUUACGAACACCAAAAAAUAUCAAUUAUAAAAGAUUUAAUCUCCUAAAUGUCUUCCUCUUCCUCAACAUCAUCCUCCACAUUAGCAAACUCAGCAACAUAUCCUUCAAUUUCUUCUUCAUCUGAGUCAUUACAUGCAAAAGUUUCAACUUCUUCUCCACUUUCUCCAUGUUGAGAAAGACAAUGGGAGUGAGGGAGUUAGAGGAGAACUUGGGAGAGAGGUAGAGGAGAACUUGUGAGGGAGUUAUAGAAAUAAACACUAAAAGUAGUAAAAUGGUACUAAUUAAGGUUUUAACCCACAAUGGGCCAAAAUACCCAGAAACCCCUUUAUAAAAAAUCUGGUUCUUAAAAAAAACCAUUUCUAAAAAAAACUGGAUUUUUUGAAGAAAAACCCGGUUUUUUGAAGAAAAAACCCGCUUCGUCCGCCAUGGCCGCCAUACCGCCUCACCGCCAUGGCGCCACUAUUCUCAAAAAGGCGGAAGCCGCCAUAUGGC